UGCUGAGCUGGAUAAAGUCUACCAAACUGAAAGGUCUCCAAGGCUAUAGCUGGCUGUCUGAGAAAUUAUGGUGUUUGUUUAGCCCAUCUUAGGACUUGGGCUAUCCCAGUUGCUCAGGCCAGAAACCUCCGUUACCAUCUCUUCUUACAUGUUUCACAUCCAAACCAUCAGCACAUCCGGGUGGCUCUGCCUUCAAGAUAGAUCCAGAAGCUAGGUCCUUUCCACUGCCUCCACCACGGCCACCUGGCCCAGGCCACCCUCCUCUGCCACAAGGGUUUUUGCCAUUGCCCUCCCUGGCUUCCUGUGGUUACAGUCAGAGACCUCGUCCCUCCCACUCAGCCUUCUCGAGGGCUUCUGUCUGCUCAGAGUCAAGGUCACGGCCCUUCCGAGGGGAUGUAUGCUCCGUAGGGAUGUAUGACUGUUCCGUCAGCUUCUCCCUGGAAGAGUGUCCAGCACGUUGAAUGAUGAAAGAAUUGAUCAGCUAUGAUAGAUCACAAGCCUCGUUCCAGAGGUCACACAUUGGAUUCAGAAGCUUCUAUUCCUUAUCUCCGUGAAAGAUUGCAACGAAAAUCUUGAUUUAAAAAUUCUCUUAUUGUCUAAUUAGGAAAGUUUUAUUGAAGUCCAAAUAUUCCCAUCCUCACCUUCCCACUUUUCACCGGGAGUCUGAGGAGGAAAUACUGAUAUAAAAAAUUUUUAAAUCAUCAUUUAAGAAAAACAAAAAAGGAAAUACUGAAAGACCACAGGCCAGUCUGGAAAAGGAGCAGACUCUCCCACUCUCCUGCUUCAGGGCACCUACGUUUGCCCUGUGCAGCCAGCAGGCAGAGUGCUCAUUACCUGCUCUCCACCCUCGGUUCUCACUCUGGGCCCCAGGGCUCGGCCACUGGGCCAGGCCACAUGUGCGGCCCUCCUUAGUUCCAAGCUGUUCUUGGACGUGGUCUCCUCCACCCCCGGAGCCUUUGCUUUCCUUUCCCCAGAUCUUCUUUUCCCAGACUUCCUGGAAUUUAUAAUCCAAAGGUUGUGUAAUUUCAGAAGCUGCGAUGGUUCCAAGAACUCCUGUCCCCGUCAGUCCGUCUUCUGCUUGCGCGGGCCUGGAGGAGACACUGGGGGUCAGUCCUGAUCCCGUCCCCAUCAGUCUGUCUUCUGCUUUUGCGGGCCUGGAGGAAACGCCGGGGGUCAGUCCUGAUCCUGUCCCCGUCAGCCGUCUUCUGCUUGCGCGGGCCUGGAGGAGACACUGAGG